CUUCAUUCUCCUUAUCGAUGAUAUUUAUUUUUAGGGUUGUUUCUCUUUCUCAAUUCUAAAGAUUUUGGGAUUUCAAAUCCAUAUUUAUAUUUAUAUAUAUAUUUAUCUUCAUUGUAGAGCAAGCAAUCGACAUCAAGGUAUUUUGGGUUUCCAAGGUGGUGUUAGAUUUAUGAUUUCGGCAGGAUGGAUUAGAUGUGACUUUUCGAUUUGCUACUUCUAUUUGCUAUCCUGAUUCGUUGAUGAAUUUUUAAUGCUUUACAAGCCAUGCCAUCAGAGCUUAAUUAUGCAUUAGCAGGUAAUGCGAAGGAUCCUCUAGGCUAAGAUGGAGUAAUGAAUCCAGCUACUGGAUCAGAAAGCCUUCGCAUAACAAAAAGUUGUUGUGAUGAGAGGCACACACUGGCGGAAAUGGAAAAAAGGCUUUCUUAUUAUUUUGUUCUUUGUGAUAGAAUUCAGCCUCUGUACUGAUUGCAUUGUUGAGACUUUACCCAUUCUUUGUGCCAUAUGUUGAGAUUUUGGUAGUCGCCGUGAAGAUAUGAAGCUUACAUUACACUUAUGGCCGCUCCACUACACCUAUCGUAUCUGGAUAUUUCGGAAAAUUUCAUUGACGACUUCCAAGUAUACAAUUCAACUUCCCAAAAUUUUUGUAUGUCUGUCUCUCAAAUCUAUAUUGUGGGUAUGUACAGAAUGAUCUUUAUUGGGGAUUUUAAUAAAG